CGGACACUCCCGCAAGGAGCCUGGGGCCUGCCAUAGCAGAGAGGUGAUGUCAUCGGAGUUCGGCCGACGGAAUUCCUUCCCAGCAGAAUCCACUUUAGCAGGUCUCUUUCCCCCUACAAGUGGAAAAGCGUCUAUUUAUGGAUUUGAGAUUACAAAAGAUAUGUUUCAUAUUCGAAGGAGUCUGGGUUUCUGUCCACAAAAUGAUCUUUUGUUUGAUUAUUUAACAGUAUUUGAACACCUUUACUUUUUUGCCCAGGUGGUGAUGUUAGAUGAGCCAACCACUGGAAUGGAUCUGGUCUCAAGGAGAGCCACCUGGGAUCUCCUUCAGCAGAAAAAAAAAUGGCCGUACCAUCCUGAUUACCACUCAUUAUAUGGAUGAAGCAGAUCUUCUGGGUGACCGGGUUGCCAUCAUGGCCAAAGGGGACUUGCAGUGCUGUGGCUCUUCAUUG
rnacentral:lncRNA from 1 species